rnacentral:rRNA from 1 species
CCGCGGUAAAACCGGUUACUCCUACGGGUGCCAGCAGUGGGGAAUAUUGGACAAUGGGGGCAACCCUGAUCCAGCAAUGCCGCGUGGGUGAAGAAGGUCUUCGGAUUGUAAAGCCCUUUCGGCGGGGACGCGGUACCCGCAGAAGAAGCCCCGGCUAACUUC